GCAGACGAAACAUUCCAGCAAUUUCCGGCCGGCGUCUCCUUCAGAAGUCGAAGCAUUUCUUCACCGGAUUCUCGAUUCCACCGCGUGAUCCAUGGUCUUAACAUGAAGAUGGAUCUUGAUCUGCAAUUAGUGUUCAGCAAUGUGUAUUUUUCUGGUUAGUAUCUAAAAUUGUUUUAACUUCGUAGUGAUAUUUUUAAAUAGUAUGUUUAGAGAAUGAGAAGGUGAUGCGCUAAUUCCUAGUUCCUAUUAAUACAUGUGCGAGGCUUAAUUGGCAUUCCUGAGGAAUGUUGGGCCUCUAUCUUUUAACAAUAUGGAAUGUAGUGAAAUAAUUCCAUUGGUUUGGAAUCUAGGCAAAGAAGAAUUUAAGCAUACUUAAUGCUUAAGCCUGUAUAUCCGUUGGAUUCGGCUCGGAUAUCUAGGUAUCUGAAUUCGGAUAAUCCGAAUCCAACUGAAAAAAAUCCGGAUAGGAAAAUCUGAAUCCGGAUAACUUUUUAUAAAAAAUUUAAAAUAAAAUUAUAAAAAUAUAAAAUUAUUGUUAAUAAAGUUAAUCAAUAGUCAAUUAAUUACCAUAAAAUCUGGAUAUCCGGAAGUUAAUUUAUAUUUAUUCGGAAUCCGAAAUUCUUAAACGAAUUCGGAUUUUGACGACAGAUUUUUUGGAUAUCCGAAUCCGUCCGGAUAAAAUUCAGAUAUUAAUUUAGUUAUCCGAAUCCGAAAAUAGUCAUUCGAAUAAAGAUAUGAAUACGAAUUUCGUAUACCAUUUUUAGUAAUACUCAAUGGCAAUGAUGAUACUUGAUAGUAAGCAAGGGUGGUGGAAUCUUUGAGAAUCCAAAAAGGGAAAAACUUGAUUAGAUGCCGACGUCCAUCAUGUCAUAUGAAUUAAGUUUUGCAUCUGUCUCUGCCAUAUCAUCAAUAAGAGCAUCAAAUUCUUUCUACUUGGGAAUGACAAUUGAAACCCACCUGAUCUGAUUGUUUACCCAACGCCUCCAAAAUUUAUCAAUUGAUCUAUGAUCAAACACAGAGAGAGAAACCCACAAUUAUCAACAAUUAGUUGAUAAAUCUCCUUCACUCUAUUGAGCUUGUACUGUAGUAUUCUCUAAUCAUGGACCUGUCGCCCUGAUUGCUAAGUUUCUAUUGGGUGGUUUUAGUAAGUAUUGUCUUUUUCAGUUUUUUAACUGAUAGAGAUUGACCAAGGUGAGGCGGAAUGGAUACUGUAAACAGAGCUCCGGUGGACACCCGAAGAAGUUGGUCCGACCAGUCUGAUAGAGAAUGACAGUCCAGGUCGGCCCACGAGAGCGAAACAAUCCACGCGGCGAACUGAUUACAAGUACACAUAGAUCGUAGUAGUUGGUAGUUAGUACAGCUGGAGUAGUUAAAGAUACUUAGUCGUUAAUAAAUUUGUUUAGCUUAAUUGGGUAUAAAUAACCAAACAAUGUAAACAAUUAGAUUAUCCAAAGUAUUAUUUCCUUUGCUUCAAAAAAAAAAAGUAUUAUUUCCUUUUGGUAAUCCUCUCUUCUUCCUCGGGAUCCUCUGUGAUAUGUCCUGGACCACCUUCGGCCCCUCAGGGAGUUCUCUCAUCGAUUCAUCUGCCCUCGACGACUUGGUCCGACCGCUGAUCGACUACGAGCCGAUCACCACUGUCACAUUAUUCUUCAAAAAACUGAUAGAAUCGAACGUGCGGAAUAUAAAAAGAAAGGUACCUCUGAGUUGAAACAAUAGCCGAUGGGGUUGUGAUGUGAAGAUAAUGUCAGCAAGAAUGGAGAUUCGGAGAUAGGGAAGAGAGGCAGGUGGAAUCUAUCGGCCAGACGAUGAUUUGGAAUCCACCAGAGGUCAAUAACAAAUUAAGGAGGGAAGUCGAGAGAUGGAAGGCAGUUGUUACCUGGAAAACGGCAGAUAGUACUUCUUCAAAUCUUCUACGUUGAAGUUGUGCGGCAUAUUGAAUUCCUCCGACAAAUCGACAAUGUAUGCAUUGUCAUUAAUCUUCCUCAAUAUUUGAAUAACUCCCUAUCGGAAAACGACCCUUUCUCAAAUGUACCAUAACUUUCAUCUCCCAUUGAGAACACCACUUCUUUUUUCUUUUUAUCUGCUAUUUUCACUGUUAACUUCUAAAUUCUGACGGAGCUCGAACCCAAAAAAUAGACUUGUUCAAUAAACGAGCCUAGCUCAAGUCAUCCUAGACUCAAGUUCUCCAGUCGAAUGGAGAGAAAAAUUUCAGCUGACUAAAGAAGGAAUUCAGGCAACUAGGGGAUUUUUUUAAGAAAAAAC
rnacentral:lncRNA from 1 species